UGCGAGCGUUGUCCGGAAUCACUGGGCGUAAAGGGCGCGUAGGCGGCUUCUCACGCGUGCGGUGAAAGCUCGGGGCUUAACUCCGAGUCUGCCGUGCGAACGGGGAGGCUUGAGUCUGGUAGAGGUCGAUGGAAUUCCGGGUGUGGCGGUGGAAUGCGUAGAGAUCCGGAAGAACACCGGCGGCGAAGGCGGUCGACUGGGCCAGUACUGACGCUGAGGCGCGACAGCGUGGGGAGCAAACAGGAUUAGAUACCCUGGUAGUCCACGCCGUAAACGAUGGGCACUAGAUCCUUGGGGGAGCGACCCCUUGAGGGUCGGCGCUAACGCAUUAAGUGCCCCGCCUGGGGAGUACGGCCGCAAGGCUG
rnacentral:rRNA from 1 species